GAUCCUUGAGCUCUGCUGAAAAAAAUUAUCCUAUUGGUGAAAAAGAAUUAUUAAGUGUUAAAGCUGCCUUCGAAAAUUGGCGUCAUCUUCUGGAAGAUACAAAACAACCUAUAAUAGUUUAUACUGACCAUAAAAAUCUUGAAUAUCUCUAUACUAACAAAACCCUUACAGCUAGACAAGUUAGAUGGAACCUAUUCUUUAACCGAUUCAACUUCC